GGAACAUGCAAAAGAGUGUACUGAGAAGAGGAGGGCAGAGGUGCUGGAAUUCCUUCAAACCACACAGGAGCUCUUCCUAUCUGACAGUUCAUCUGCAGCAGGGAAGCCCCAGUGUCCUGACCACUCCAUGCAGGCGCUGCUAGCCAGCCUUUCUGCUGGAACAGCGCCCCCUGCAGACGUGACCCAGAUACACCAGCUGAAGUCCCUGGUGCUGCUGCAGGACACUGAUCGUCUGACUAAUGCACUGGAGGACUUCCAGCGGAGCUCAACCUUGCCCCCUGAGGAAGCCUCGGUCAUCUGUUCCUUAUUUCACUACUGGCUGACAGACAUUCUGCCCAUGUGGAGAAACCGGCGGUCAAGUGACCAAACCACGCAACAGCUGUGACUUUGAGUUUCUGCCUUGACCAGCGCAGCCCGGCGCUGUUGAAGAGACCUCUUUAUCACAUGGAAGAAUUCCUCUCACUUUGACUGGCACUGAAGGGAGCUUCGGCUUCCUAUUAUCUGAUUUACGUGUCAGACCUGCCUCACUGUUUGACUGUCAGUGAUUACAUUACAUUAUUGUCAUUUUUCUUAAUACAACACAGUUCAUACAAC